rnacentral:rRNA from 1 species
UGGGGAAUUUUGGACAAUGGGCGCAAGCCUGAUCCAGCAAUGCCGCGUGCAGGAUGAAGGCCUUCGGGUUGUAAACUGCUUUUGUACGGAACGAAAAGCCUCUCUCUAAUACAGGGGGGUGAUGACGGUACCGUAAGAAUAAGCACCGGCUAACUACGUGCCAGCAGCCGCGGUAAUACGUAGGGUGCAAGCGUUAAUCGGAAUUACUGGGCGUAAAGCGUGCGCAGGCGGUUUUGUAAGACAGUGGUGAAAUCCCCGGGCUCAACCUGGGAACUGCCAUUGUGACUGCAAGGCUGGAGUGCGGCAGAGGGGGAUGGAAUUCCGCGUGUAGCAGUGAAAUGCGUAGAUAUGCGGAGGAACACCGAUGGCGAAGGCAAUCCCCUGGGCCUGCACUGACGCUCAUGCACGAAAGCGUGGGGAGCAAACAGGAUUAGAUACCCUGGUAGUCCACGCCCUAAACGAUGUCAACUGGUUGUUGGGGAUUUAUUUCUUCAGUAACGAAGCUAACGCGUGAAGUUGACCGCCUGGGGGAGUACGGCCGCAAGGUU